ensembl:lncRNA
GGCCAAUCAGACGCCCCAGGAGGGCUCCGGCGGAAGUGAGGCACUUCCGGCGGAAGUGAGGCGCCUCCACCGCAUCUCUGGAGCCUGGAGCGGCCCAGGUGAUGUGGUCCCGGAGCUGAUGGCAGAUUCCUGGAGGAGCGAGUUGGUGCUGGGAAGUCCUUUCAUUGAAGUGGAGGCCAUGGUUCCCAAAGCGCACAAACUCGCUAUUCAGUCUAUACAGUGGAUGCUGUGGAUGCUGUGAUACCAUCGUGCGAGAAAUAAUAGGAUACUCUGUAUAAAAGCUACAAGAGGGAAACCCCAUGUUGGAUUCCUCCAAAAACAGCAAGCUCUUGGAGGAAGGCCCAGGAGGGACCUUAUUUAUUGCUGUUGACACCACAUUCCCUGGGAGUCCACCUUGCACAGACAAAGACAAGAAUUCCGCAAACAAUGCCGGUCAGUGGAACCUAAUAUGCAAGAGAGGAUUCAGGUGGUUCCAGGAGCUGAGAGAGCCUGGGACCAGCUGUGGACAGGACAACCUGAAUGGAGCUCUCCUCUUCCAGAGAUUGGGGUCCUCUGUUAGAGUCCUGCAAAAGGAGUUAGAGACCCAGGUAAACAAAAAGAUGCCCACUCCUCAAGAACAUUCUCUGGAGAGACUGAUCGGAGACAGAAGUGGCAUCAGCCACUCAUCCACCAAGAUGAGAAGAAAUCCAGGAGACCAGGAAACCAACAUACCCACAGUGGUAGCCAUUUAGAAAUAUCACUUGCAGGUUUAUGAAGAGUGGGGUGCGCAUAUGUAUUGAAUUUGUACAUAUAUAUACAUAAAAAUGUAUGUUUAUAUGUCCACACACACAUAUACACAUGUAUAUUCUAACUUUGGCAGUGAGGCCUUCAAACCUGAAAGUAGGACUCUGGCAUCACAUUGAGGGCUGUGGCAAGUGGCCCCUGUGUGUGUUCUCCUAGCUUCUCUAUGUCCAGUGUGAACCUGCUGGCCACAGACUACUUAUGCAGGUCUCAAGUUAUACUCUGUUGACUCUCAGCUCCAUAGCUCACUAGCCUCAGUUUCCUCAUCCAUACAAUGGGCAUAAUGUGAGUUAUUUUAGGUAGACCACAUUAUUAGCAACCUCAUCAAAUAAGAAAAUACGUGUAAUAGAUUUGACACCUAGAAUACAUUCAAUGAGAUGCUAGUUAUUAUUACGUUUUAUUAGGUUCCCUUCUUAGCCUUUGCCUGUUGCUAACAAUAGAACUGUAAGUGGGGAUCUUCUUUAUAAACUGCAGAGGCUCCGUGACCCAGGAUUUUUUUUUUCUUCUACAUCCUUUAUUAUUAUUUUUUUUAAGAUUUUAGUUUUAUUUAUUUAUUCAUGAGAGACACAGAGAGAGAUAGGCAGAGACAUAGACAGAGGGAGAAGCAGGCUCCAUGCAAGGAGUCCCAGGACUCUGGGAUCAUGCCCUGAGCCAAAGGCAGAGCCUCAACUGCUGAGCCACCCAGGCAUCCCUACAUCCUUUAUUCUUAGUCAAAUGCAGCAGUACAUGGAAAUUUAACUAAACAUGAGUUAUUAAAUGACCAAACACCAGGGCAAACUUUUGGAAAGUCAUAAAACUUUUACCAGCUAUAAAUAAAAAUGUCCUUAAGACUUGUGAUGGUUUGGCA